ACCCCCGUUCCCAUCCCGAACACGGUAGUUAAGCUUCUCUGCGCCAAUGGUAGUUGGGGGCUUCCCCCUGCGAGAGUAGGUCGCUGCCGGGC
rnacentral:rRNA from 1 species